CACAGUGAGAUAUAAUCUGUGGUGAAAUGUAAGGUAUGUAAAUGCCAAUUGAUAAGAUAUGAUGAAAUGCUUAACAAAUGACCUCACUUGUACUGACCAUUGAGAAAGCUAAAAAGAGGAUUUUUAUGAUAAAAUCUUAGAUCUCUGAAAGUAAUUGCUUCUGACAUCUCCAGCUAGGCAAUGGGCUGCAUAAAACAGUGCCAUUCAGUUACAAAUUCUGAGGCUACUGAAGUGAGAAGAACACAGGGUAGAUACAAAUUAAAUCUUACUUAUGAUGAACAGUCUGGAUUGUUUCCUUAAACUUGCAUUUUGUGUGUGGAGAGGGGAAAAAUAAUCAUUUCAAAAUAGUAUGCUUUUGUGUUUUUUAUUUUUAGAAGUUGCCACGGUGUUUUGAUUAACAGCAAGGAAUGCCUGUAGGGUAGUUGUAUGAUGUUAAUGAAACCCCACUGUCCUGUACAGCUUCCUUGAAAAGUCCUGUUAUAGAUUUUACACUGGGAAGGAAAUGAACUAUAAACAGUAUGACCUUCCUUGAAAAUGAUGAAUCAUUUACCAUUUACCUCCUUUUUUUUUUUUUUCCCCCAGCUAUAUCUCUCCACAGCUUAUCCAAAUAUUUAAGUAUACACUUGUCCUGCUUGUGUUUAUUUUUUAUUAUUUUUUUCAUCUGUGGAUGAAAACUGUUGGCAUUAUUUUCAAACUGAAGCAACUAUGUUCUGUCAUCUAAGUGACCUAAUAAAAUUAUUUUUGAAGUUGCUUCACAUGUACUAUACUCCUUAAUUUAUCUCAUUUGUUGUCAGGAAUAUCAUAGAAUCCUUACACAAUGUGCAGUUUAGUAACCUUUUAUCUGGGUAUCUAGUUCUAGUUAUUUGAGCUUGAGAAUUUUGGGAAGAACUCAUCACCUGAAAUAAUGAAUCACCGAAUAAAGGACAAUUUGUCAUGGUGGGAUCAAUGCAAACAAAAAAACAAACAAACAAAAAAACCCCAGCAACAACAAUAAAACACAUCAAUCUUUAAAGUUUUCUAUCAGCAGUAAACUAUACUUCUAGAACCAGCACUUCUAUCCAAUUGUAUACAAAUCUGACCAAACAUUUCCUUGCUUUUUGACAUCUUCAAGAGAAAGAAUUAAGGUAGACUCAGGGGAGGUUUGAUACUGGUACAAAUGCAUUAAGAAAAGAAAUGUCAGUACUUAAUAUCGCCAAUAGUCAUAUUUAACUGGUGUUGUGUCUAUGAUCAUGGCCUUUAUUUGUCUUCUGUCGUGUUUACAGAUGUUGUCUGAUUCUACGUGUCAUGAACCAAACUUAUGACAUCAGCAAAUGUAUUUGAGACACUGAAGAACAUCUUACACUUCCUUGGGUGCACCCCACAGACCACAAAAAAAAAAAAAAAAAAGGUGAUCUGUAUGAAAACUAAUGGCUCACUUUCAAGAGAGUGUGGCAUUCAAGAAACUCAGAUGUGCUGGAAAACAAUGGGGUACAAUCAACAUUUGGAAUCUACUUCUGAGGUAGAUUCCUAGAUAACCUGCAUACUUACGAAAAUUUAACUUUCUAUUUUUUGUUACCUCCCUGACUAACUCAACUCAGUCUAUUUGCUCAUACACUGUACCUUCCUUUUCUUGCUCACUGUGCUGUGAGCUGUUUGUCAUAGGGUACCUGUCAUGUCUUAUCUUUGGUAGAAUGCCUCAAUUCUGCCAGGGAUUGCAGAUUGUACAGUAGUGUGUUAUAAGUCAAAGGAAUGUAAAAUAAAAUCUGGUACUUCUGUGUUACAUAUAAUAAUACUUUCUUUUCUUUAAAAGUUCGUUGUACUUUAAAUAUUUCAAAAAAUAAGUGAACAGCUCUCAGAUCUGCAAAGAUUACAUUAGAGGAUGUGACACAAUCUUUACUUGGUGUGGAAUUCACUUUAUUAAAAUGUCAAUAGUCAUUUAAACUGUACUAUGAAUUACACCAUAGAAAUAAACCAUAUAUUUAUAUGCAGAAGUUGCUUAAUUACCUAAUUACCACCUCUUUCCUCCUCCAGUUCUUGGCUGCAUGCUCCAGUUCACCAUCUUUCCAGAUCACCAUCUUUAUCACCCCUGUUCUAACUCUUCUUGCCAUGUUGCACAAAAAUCUCUUCCAUUUUUCCAGAUCAAUAGCUCUUGUUUAGACUUUAUGGAAACAGCUCCCUUCUUCUGUUCUGUGAGCUCAUUACUGCUGAGUAUUUAAAACAUACUCGUGCUAAUAAUUUGAAAUUACUGCUCCAAAAGUUAUUACCACUGCAUUCCAGGGACUUCUUUGAACAUGACAUGCUCUAUUGGAUGGUUCACUAGAAUGGAAGUUAGGACAUUGUUUCUCAUUCCGUGAUAUUUAGGCAAGCCAUGUUAUCAUUUCUCUGCUUUCAUUCUACCAUGUUCAAAAAGCACUUAAAGUUCUCAGGACUGAAAACUUUAUAGCAUAGCUAAGUUCAUUUUGGGCACUUAGCAGCUUGUGACUUAGAAUGUCACAAGAAUUUAAACUGUUGAUGUAGUCAGAUUCUGCUUUUCUUGCGUCCCAAGUUUUUGCUACUUACAUUAACUUAAAAAUGUGUAAAUAUUUUUCUCCUGUUGAUACAUAUUAGAAUAGGCAUUGCUAUCAUUGGUGUGGAAAUCCCAUUUUUCUUCCAUGACUGUGUAUAGCAGGUGGACUCUGUCUUAAGAAUAUCAGUUGCCUAGAAUGAGGUAAAGUUAAUUUAGGCCUCAUCCGAUCAUGGCAAGUGUGAUCUUUCUAGUGUGUCUCAACUGAGAACAAGAGGUUGAAUUAGGAACAGUUUAGGUCAUCUAAAGGCUCCUCUUGGCUAUUCCUUGUUCCCUGAGUCAG
ensembl:lncRNA